rnacentral:rRNA from 1 species
UGGGGAAUCUUGGACAAUGGGCGCAAGCCUGACCCAGCAACGCCGCGUGAAGGAUGAAGUAUUUCGGUAUGUAAACUUCGAAAGAAUAGGAAGAAUAAAUGACGGUACUAUUUAUAAGGUCCGGCUAACUACGUGCCAGCAGCCGCGGUAAUACGUAGGGACCAAGCGUUGUUCGGAUUUACUGGGCGUAAAGGGCGCGUAGGCGGCAAUUCAAGUCAUCCGUGAAAUCUCCGGGCUUAACUCGGAACGGUCAGAUGAUACUGCUUUGCUAGAGUGCAGAAGGGGCAAUCGGAAUUCUUGGUGUAGCGGUGAAAUGCGUAGAUAUCAAGAGGAACACCUGAGGUGAAGACGGGUUGCUGGGCUGACACUGACGCUGAGGCGCGAAAGCCAGGGGAGCAAACGGGAUUAGAUACCCUCGUAGUCCCUGAGCGGGCUGGCAAGGCGCAU